UACUGUCUUCGUCAUCGAACAACUGGC
rnacentral:sRNA from 1 species